AAACUUGUAUUCAGAUAAAAGCACAAAGGCAACUAGAAAACAUCAGAUUCAGAGAAAAUAAAACAACAGGCAAGCAAAAUAAAUCCUAAGUGCCUAAGGGUUCGGAGGCGGAGGCAUUCUCUGAAGCAACAUUGCAAGCAUGUUCUGGAUGUUGUCGUUGACAGUAUCUUGCUUGUCCAUUCUGGCCCGGAGUUCAUUCUGAUCUUGCUUAAGUUCUUUCAGAGUCUGAAGAACCAUAGGGAUAACAGAAGAGGACUCCCCCAGAGUCAGAGCCUGCUGUGCUUCAGCAGCAGCCUGCGCUUCAGCUUCAGCAGCAGCUUGUGCUUCUGCAUCCGCCAGAGCCUUAGCUUCAGCUUCCUUUAAC
rnacentral:lncRNA from 1 species